GAUGAACGCUGGCGGCGUGCCUAAUACAUGCAAGUCGAGCGAACGGACGAGAAGCUUGCUUCUCUGAUGUUAGCGGCGGACGGGUGAGUAACACGUGGAUAACCUACCUAUAAGACUGGGAUAACUUCGGGAAACCGGAGCUAAUACCGGAUGAUAUUUUGAACCGCAUGGUUCAAAAGUGAAAUACGGUCUUGCUGUCACUUAUAGAUGGAUCCGCGCUGCAUUAGCUAGUUGGUAAGGUAAUGGCUUACCAAGGCUACGAUGCAUAGCCGACCUGAGAGGGUGAUCGGCCACACUGGAACUGAGACACGGUCCAGACUCCUAAGGGAGGCAGCAGUAGGGAAUCUUCCGCAAUGGGCGAAAGCCUGGCGGAGCAACGCCGCGUGAGUGAUGAAGGUCUUCGGAUCGUAAAACUCUGUUAUUAGGGAAGAACAUAUGUGUAAGUAACUGUGCACAUCUUGACGGUACCUAAUCAGAAAGCCACGGCUAACUACGUG
rnacentral:rRNA from 1 species